rnacentral:rRNA from 1 species
AAUAUUGGACAAUGGGGGCAACCCUGAUCCAGCCAUGACGCGUGUGUGAAGAAGGUCUUCGGAUUGUAAAGCACUUGAUGUUGGGAGGAAGGGCAGUCAGUUACUACCUUGCUUUUUUGCCGUUACCGUAAGAAUAAGCACCGGCUACCUUCGUGCCAGCAGCCGCGGUAAUAAGAAGGGUGCAAGCAUUAAUCGGAAUUACCGGGCGUAAAGCGGGCGUAGGUGGUGUGUUAAGUUGGAAGUGAAAGCCCCGUGCUCAACCUGGGGACUGCUUUCAAAACUGGCAAACUAGAGUAUGGCAGAGGGUGGUGGAAUUUCCUGUGUAGCGGUGAAAUGCGUAGAUAUAGGAAGGAGCACCAGUGGCGAAGACGACCACCUGGGCUAAUACUGACACUGAGGUGCGAAAGCGUGGGGAGCAAAC